rnacentral:rRNA from 1 species
CAAACUCCGAAUGCCGGCAGGUUAAGCGCAGCAGUCGGACGGCGGGAGAUGAGUUUCGUCGUCGAGAGGGAAAGAACCCAGACCCCCGGCUAAGGUCCCGGAGAGUACGUUAAGUGGGAAAUGAUGUGACUGUGUUGAGACAGCUAGGAGGUUGGCUUAGAAGCAGCCACCCUUUAAAGAGUGCGUAACAGCUCACUAGUCAAACGCAGUUGCGCAGACAAUGUAACGGGGCUCAAACGUACCACCGAAGCCUGGGAUGCGGGAGCAUAGUAGGAGAGCGUUCCACGGGCGGCGAAGGCGAACUGGCGAGGUUUGUUGGAGCGCGUGGAAGUGAGAAUGCUGGCAUGAGUAGCG